rnacentral:rRNA from 1 species
CGUAGGGGCAAGCGUUGUCCGGAAUCAUUGGGCGUAAAGGGCGCGUAGGCGGAUAAUUAAGUCUGGUGUGAAAACUCAGGGCUUAACCCUGAGAGUGCAUCGGAAACUGGUUAUCUUGAGGACAGGAGAGGAAAGUGGAAUUCCACGUGUAGCGGUGAAAUGCGUAGAUAUGUGGAGGAACACCAGUGGCGAAGGCGACUUUCUGGACUGUAACUGACGCUGAGGCGCGAAAGACGUGGGGGAGCAAACAGGAUU